rnacentral:rRNA from 1 species
GACGAACGCUGGCGGCGUGCUUAACACAUGCAAGUCGAACGGAAAGGCCCUGCUCUUGUGGGGUGCUCGAGUGGCGAACGGGUGAGUAACACGUGAGUAACCUGCCCUUGUCUUUGGGAUAACAUUAGGAAACUGGGGCUAAUACAGGAUAGGAGCUCCUGCUGCAUGGUGGGGGUUGGUAAGUUUCGGCGUUUGGGGAUGGACUCGCGGCUUAUCAGCUUGUUGGUGGGGUAGUGACUUACCAAGGCUUUGACGGGUAGCCGGCCUGGGAGGGUGGCCGGCCACAUGGCGACUGCGGUACGGCGCAGUAUCCUACGGUAGGCAGCAGUGGAGAGUAUUACACAAUGGCGCGAAGCCUGAUACGGAGACGCCGCGUGCGGAAUGACCGCCUACGAGUUAUAAACCGCUUUCGCCGGUAAUGAGGCGUGAGUGACGGUACUGAGUAAGAAAGCACCGGCUAACUACGUG